rnacentral:rRNA from 1 species
CAGUAGCCACGGUAAUACGUAGGGGGCGAGCGUUGUCCGAAGUUACUGGGCGUAAAGCGCGCGUAGGCGGCUUCUUAAGUCUGAGGUGAAAGGUUCAACGCUUAACGUGAACAGUGCCUUGGAUACUGGGGAGCUUGAGUAUGGGAGAGGGCAGUGGAAUGGCUGGUGUAGCGGUGAAAUGCGUAGAUAUCAGUCGGAACACCCAUGGCGAAGGCAGCUGCCUGGCCUAAUACUGACGCUGAGGUGCGAAAGCGUGGGGAGCGAACGGGAUUAGAUACCCGUGUAGUCCCUGUCUCUUAUA